AGCUUUUGACUCUAGUGCACAAUGGCAAGACCAGGCAAUUGAUGGGGUCCACAAGCUUGGACAGACUUGAAAGCAAAUCUUGUCUGAGUUUGCUAACGUUAACAACUAAAUUUUUUUUUUUUUAAAUCGAAAAAAAUACCAAAAUUUUCAGAAUUUAUAUAUAUUUAUAUAAAUUCCUAAUUCUAUUUUUCACUUCUCAUGCCAAAAUUAAUGGUUUAAGUAUAAAAAAUAUAAAAUAAAUUAAAAUGAAUAGUAAUUGCCCUUGUCCUUGUCAUUUGGAGUGGA
rnacentral:lncRNA from 1 species